UACUGAGUUUACGCUCUAUAACCCUUUGUGAACAUACCUAUAACUGUUGCUUCGGCGGGUAGGGUCUCCGUGACCCUCCCGGCCUCCCGCCCCCGGGCGGGUCGGCGCCCGCCGGAGGAUAACCAAACUCUGAUUUAACGACGUUUCUUCUGAGUGGUACAAGCAAAUAAUCAAAACUUUUAACAACGGAUCUCUUGGUUCUGGCAUCGAUGAAGAACGCAGCGAAAUGCGAUAAGUAAUGUGAAUUGCAGAAUUCAGUGAAUCAUCGAAUCUUUGAACGCACAUUGCGCCCGCCAGCAUUCUGGCGGGCAUGCCUGUUCGAGCGUCAUUUCAACCCUCAAGCUCUGCUUGGUGUUGGGGCCCUACAGCUGAUGUAGGCCCUCAAAGGUAGUGGCGGACCCUCCCGGAGCCUCCUUUGCGUAGUAACUUUACGUCUCGCACUGGGAUCCGGAGGGACUCUUGCCGUAAAACCCCCCAAUUUUCCAAAGGUUGACCUCGGAUCAGGUAGGAAUACCCGCUGAACUUAAGCAUAUCAAUAAGCGGAGGAAAAGAAACCAACAGGGAUUGCCUCAGUAACGGCGAGUGAAGCGGCAACAGCUCAAAUUUGAAAUCUGGCCCUAG
rnacentral:rRNA from 1 species